AAUUGUUUGGCAGGGGUAAAGCAUAGACUACCUACUGUGGGAAUGAAGUGAGAUAAGGCUGGAGUGGUGGGCAGGGGUCAGGGCAUGGAUGGCCUGGUACCAUGUACUAGAGGAAUUUGAACUUUAUCUUGUAGGUAGUAGAGAACCAGUGAAGGCCUUUAGGCAGGAUAAUAACAUCACUUCAUUUUACUGGUUUAUAAGCAAUGGAUUAAUGACGGAGCUAGAAGUAGACUGUUACAUACUCCAUAUAAGCAAAGUCAAGAUCCUGAACUAAGAACGUAGCAAUCAAGAUGAAGAGGAGGAAGACAGAUUAGAGAAGUGCUAGAAUCUGUAGGGCUUCCUAAUCAAUUGUAGAGGGAGCUAUGGUGAGAGGUAUGAGUAAGGAGAGAAGUCACAAUCUGAGAUAUAUUCAAGAGCCAGGCAAGUGUAUAUAAAUGAAUGAAAGGAGCUUCAGCAUCCUUUAUGGUCACUGUGAAGACUACAUGAACCAGGAGCUCAUCUGCUGCUCAUCUCCAGCCAGUUGUUCCAUGCAGAUCCGAAAAGACACGGUGAUGUCUGACUUGUUCUCUUGGAUGUCUCUCCCUGAGUGAAGCCAGCUACUUUUCAUGAGGAUACUCAAGCAUUCCUAUGGAGAGAUCCACAUGGUGAGAAACUGAAGCCUCCUACCAAGAGCCAGCACCAACUUGCCAGCUAUGUGAAUGAGCCAUCUUAGAAGUGGGUUCUCUAGCCCUAGUCAGGCCUUCAUAUGACUGCAGCCAGGGCUGAUAUUUUGACUACAACCUCAUGAGAGACUGAGCCACAACAACCUAGCUAAGAAGCUCCUGAAUUCCCUACCAACAGAAACUAUGUGAGAUAAUGUUUGUUGUUUUAACUAAGUUUUCAAGUGGUAAUUUGUUAUACAGAAUAUGUAACUAAUAAAGCAUGGCUCCUUUAGGUCUAAAUGUUGUCUUUUGCUUACAUGAUACCCCAGAAGCACAGGAAUCCUGCUGUUUCAUGAAGCACUUGAGUAUGGAAAUUCUUGUGAGGUUGCCUCUGUCCCUGUUUGCCCCAACACACCAUGUAGUUAUUCCUUCACUGGACUUGCACCUUUCUACCAGUCUCUGCUCAGGAAGCAAAGCCUAAGUUUCCUCUUUUCCUAGAAAUACAGACCUAUUUGUAGACCUCCUGUUCUUCAUCUUCAGCCUGCAGAUAUUUUGUUUUUAUCUUGGGGAAAUUCUCCUCAUUUUUGGCCAUGAUACUUUGUACUUGAAUCUUCUCAACCUCUCCAGGACUUUCGGAAAUAAAAGGCAGAAAACUUACAAGCUUGUCUUCUUUCUACCAUGUUGUAAUGCCUCCCCUGAGACAGUGAACAAAAGGCUAGCUCUUUGAAUUUUGUGAGAUGUAGAAAGAAAGGGGAAAAUGAAGGGAGAAAAAAUGUGAAUAUCUCAAAAUACCAUCCUACCAGAAUUAUCAAUAUGUGAUGAGUGCUUACUGUGUGCCAGAUACUAUACCAAAUGCUUUACAUAUUUUUUCUCAUUAAGUACUAUUAUCAAGCUUAUUUUACAAACAAGAUGAUCAGAUUUAGAGAGAUUAAGUAAGUUGCCUGAAGUUUCACUGUUUCUAGAUGGUAAUGCUGAAAUUCUACCAGGAAUCUCUGACUCCCAGCUCCAACUUUUGACCAUUAGCAUGCAAGUUCUUUCCAUGUGGUUGGGGAGGGAAGAAGGUUGGUCUAAGGGUGCUUUCCUUUGGCUUCAUUUCUUCACAUAAAUGAGGAUGCCAAUCAUACCUAAGACUUGUCUGUCAUUAAUACAUUUCUGACAGUGGCUUCCACUUGGCAACACUUUGUAGGCGAGUGGACCUACUCUGUACACUUGAAAUGUUGAAAACUGCACUUCUUCUAAAAUACUGUUUGGAUCAAUCAUUUCAUUUAGUUAAGCAGGCCAUCUGUCUAUCCAGCAUGUUUUCCAAGUGCCUGUGCGUAGGUACCACGUAAAAUGCUGGGGACAUCAAGAUGAAUUCAACACUCACCAUGAGCUAUGUGUGUGGUGUUUAGAUGAAACAGACAUAAAAGCUAAUUACAGCAGUGAGAUAAGUUGUAUAUCUAAACAGCAUAUGAAUAUGUGUUCUGGAAUGCAGAAGAAAAGUACUAAUUUCAGCUUAGGUAUAUCAAGGAAAACUUCUCAGAGGUAAUAAGCCUUCAAGAAUGAGUAGAAAUUCACCAGUAGGACAUUCUGGACAGAGGAAGAGGCAUGGGCAAAAAUGCUUGGCAAUUUCAGAGAGGAGCACACAACUGAGAAUAAUUGGAGAGGAUGAUGUAUGUUUAUAGGAGCCAGAUAAUGAAGAUACUUGUUCUACUAUGCUAACAAGUUAAAAUAAUUAAAACUCUCACCCCACAGGAGGAAUCUUGCCCACAAAUAUUCUUUGUUUGAUGUAGGUUUUUUUUUCUUGAAUUUGAAUGUCUUUAAAAAGACGUACAUUCUCUAGUCUUCUGUCUCCUCAGGCUCACCCCUCCAUAUUUAGGUUACCUAGCUAUCCCUGCAGACAUUUGAGCUUACUCCCCCUGCUGCAGCAAUGGGGAGUCACGGAAGAUUAUCUUUGUUUAUAGGAGCCAGAUAAUGAAGAUACUUGUUCUACUAUGCUAACAAGUUAAAAUAAUUAAAACUCUCACCCCACAGGAGGAAUCUUGCCCACAAAUAUUCUUUGUUUGAUGUAGGUUUUUUUUUCUUGAAUUUGAAUGUCUUUAAAAAGACGUACAUUCUCUAGUCUUCUGUCUCCUCAGGCUCACCCCUCCAUAUUUAGGUUACCUAGCUAUCCCUGCAGACAUUUGAGCUUACUCCCCCUGCUGCAGCAAUGGGGAGUCAUGGAAGAUUAUCUUAAGGUGGAGUUAACAUGAACGUAUUUGCUCUUUCAGAGACCAUUCUGGCUUACUGUGGAGGAUAAAUGGUGAGGCCAAUUGGGAAGGGAUGGUACAAGAUAUAGAAAUGUCUUAGCUCGGGCUGCCUUAACCAAAUGCCAUAGCCUGGGUGGCUUAAACUCAGACAUUUAUUUUUCAUUAUUCUGGAAGCUGGAAAGUCCAAGAUCAAGGCACAAGCAGAUUCAAUUCUUGGUGAGGGCUUUCUUCCUGGCUUGUAGAUGGCCACCUUCUUACUGUAUCCUUAAAGAGAGAAGGAGCUCUGGUUUCCCUUCCUCUUCUUAUAAGGGCACUAAUCCUAUCAUGGGGCCUCCACCCUCAUGACUUCAUCUAAACCUAAUUACUUGCCAAAGGCCCCACCUCCUCAUACCAUCACAAUGGGGGUUGGAGUUUCAGCAUAUGAAUUUUGAGGGGAAUACAAACAUUCAAGCUAUAAAAAGCGACUUACUGGGUGAAGAGGCUGAGAGGGAGGACUCAUGAUUCUCAGUUUCCCACUGAAUGAACGGUGGUUCCAUUAACUCCAAAUGGAUAGCACAAGAGGUUUUAUUCUAUAUGUUUAUAUGAAGUUGUAAAAUUUCUUAGGAAGGAUUGUGGAGCAAUUGCUAAAAUCCACUUAAUGUCUAUUGGAAGUACCUAGAUGAAGUUCACCAGGAGACCUUUCAAAAGUGUCUCAAAUGUUCCUAUAAAUAUUGUGACAUAUUUAUGUCAUAAAUCAGGAUACAUGGUAGGACAUGUUGGGCAUUAAUAACAGACAUAAUAUUUAAAAUGGGAACUGUUCUGAAAAAUCAGGAGUGUAUGGUCACUGGAUAUAAAAAUUACUUUGUUGUCUCAUCUAGGUUCUCUUUUAUCAAAGGUCCCUCUGAAUAAAAAUACUAUCGUUAGAAUGUACAUGUUUAAAUAAACACGUCUCAAGUACAGCUAAUCGAUCUAUGGGUAUUUCCUCAUUUUCAUCUUCAAUAAUAAUUUCAAACUCCCUACCAUACUUUUCUACAGAGCUAUUAAUAGGAAGCUUCCAUCAGCUAACUUGAGUUUCCUCUCAUUUUCCCAGCUGACAUUCACUGGAGGUAUUAAUGGGAAAUAUAAUGUCUAAAAGACAUAGGUAGUCUUCAAAUUGGAUACUCAGGCACUGAAUAAUCUUAACUUCAUGAAAAUCAGCUCUUCAUUCUGUAAAGUAUCUAGCACACUCAAAAUGUAGAGUACAUAUAGGAGGGAAAACCAUAGCGUGGCAAUGUCUUCCUGUUAUUCCAUACAUAUUAGUGUGUUCUAUUUUUCACAAUGCUUGCUAAACUGGUUUUAUGCUUGAAAUAAUUGUCACAGAGUUUCACAAAACUUUGGAAACACAAUUAACCCACCAAUAAAUUGAGUGGGAUACUAUGGAGAAUGCAAAGAUGUAUAAGACAUGAUUUCCUUUAGGUGUUUAAUACUUAAUAGAGGAAAUAAGACACAUUCAUGAAAAAGAUAAUAACAUAAGCUACUAUGUGAUGUCAAACAAUAGUUCUUUUUUUCAUAUCUAUGAAUUCAUUAGAGACGAGAAAAAAAUUUCACAAAAAGUUGGCAUUUACAAUGUAAUGAAAGAAGCAUGACCUCUAAAAUACAA
rnacentral:lncRNA from 1 species